rnacentral:rRNA from 1 species
UUGAACGCUGGCGGCAGGCCUAACACAUGCAAGUCGCACGGUAACAGGAAGAAGCUUGCUUCUUUGCUGACGAGUGGCGGACGGGUGAGUAAUGUCUGGGAAACUGCCUGAUGGAGGGGGAUAACUACUGGAAACGGUAGCUAAUACCGCAUAACGUCGCAAGACCAAAAAGGGGGACCUUCGGGCCUCUUGCCAUCGGAUGUGCCCAGAUGGGAUUAGCUAGUAGGUGGGGUAACGGCUCACCUAGGCGACGAUCCCUAGCUGGUCUGAGAGGAUGACCAGCCACACUGGAACUGAGACACGGUCCAGACUCCUACGGGAGGCAGCAGUGGGGAAUAUUGCACAAUGGGCGCAAGCCUGAUGCAGCCAUGCCGCGUGUAUGAAGAAGGCCUUCGGGUUGUAAAGUACUUUCAGCGGGGAGGAAGGGAGUAAAGUUAAUACCUUGGCUCAUUGACGUUACCCGCAGAAGAAGCACCGGCUAACUCCGUG